rnacentral:rRNA from 1 species
CAGCAGCCGCGGGAAUACGAAGGGGGCUAGCGUUGUUCGGAAUUACUGGGCGUAAAGGGCGCGUAGGCGGCCAUUCAAGUUAGAUGUGAAAGCCCUGGGCUCAACCUAGGAAUUGCAUUUGAUACUGUUUGGCUUGAGUUCGGGAGAGGUGAGUGGAAUUCCCGGUGUAGAGGUGAAAUUCGUAGAUAUUGGGAAGAACACCAGUGGCGAAGGCGGCUCACUGGACCGACACUGACGCUGAGGCGCGAAAGCGUGGGGAGCAAACAGGAUUAGAUACCCCAGUAGUCCCUGUCUCUUAUAA